UACAGGGGGGGCAAGCGUUGUUCGGAAUUACUGGGCGUAAAGGGCUUGUAGGUGGCCGACUAAGUCCGACGUGAAAUCCCCAGGCUUAACCUGGGAACUGCGUCGGAUACUGGUUGGCUUGAAUCCGGGAGAGGGAUGCGGAAUUCCAGGUGUAGCGGUGAAAUGCGUAGAUAUCAGGAGGAACACCGAUGGCGAAGGCAGGUCUCUGGGCUGACACUGACGCUCAUGCACGAAAGCGUGGGGAGCAAACAGG
rnacentral:rRNA from 1 species